AUGGCACUGGGGCAGGGCCAUGCCACCCUGCAGAACCCCAGCGUCUUCCCGCUGAGCACCGGGUGCUGUGAUCCCUCCGAACCUGUGGUCCUGGGCUGCCUCGUCCGAGACUUCUUACCCUUGCCCGCCACUGUGACCUGGAGCCCCAGUGAUGCCUCUGUCAGGAACUACACCCCCGUGUUCGGAUCCAACGGCCUGUACACCAUGAGCAGCCAGCUGGGCCCUGGCAAGUACGAAGACAAAGUGACAUGUCACGUGGAGCAUAGCGGCAAGGUCCAGUCGGUGGACAUGUCCUGCACAAUAAUUGAUCCUCCUGUAUGUGACCCACGCGUGACCCUGUACAAGCCCGCCCUGGAGGACCUCCUGCUUGGCUUCAAGGCCAACCUCACGUGCACGCUGACCGGCCUCAGGAACCCUGAGCAAGCCACCUUCUCCUGGUCACCCUCGUCCGGGAUGACGGUCGUCAAGGGGGAAGCCCAGGAGAACUCCUGUGGCUGCUUCAGCGUGUCCAGCUACUUGUCAGACGUCACCGACCUGUGGAACCGCGGGGAGACCUUCUCCUGCACAGUCAAUCACCCCAACCUCGAGAAACCGCUGACUGCCACCAUCUCCAAGCCCCAAGGAAACACCAUCCCGCCCCAGGUGCACCUGCUGCCGCCCCCGUCGGAGGAGGUGGGCCUGGAGGAGCUGGUGACGCUGACGUGCCUGGUGCGGGGCUACAAACCCGAGGACGUGGUGGUGCUGUGGCUCCACGGGAACCAGCAGCUGCCCCGCGAGGACUUCAUGACCUGGAGCUCCGAGCCCGAGCCCCGCAAGGCCGGCACCUUCGCCGUGACCAGCGUGCUGCGCGUGAACGCCCAGACCUGGAAGAGGGGCGACAGCUUCUCCUGCAUGGUGGGCCACGAGGGCCUGCCCCUGAACUUCACCCAGAAGACCAUCGACCGCCUGGCGGGUAAACCCACCCACGUCAACGUGUCUGUGAUCAUGGCGGAGGCCGACGGCGUCUGCUCUCAGAAGUUCUGCUGGGAGAUCCUCGACAUGCCGCAUGAAGAGGACGCGCCGGGAGCCAGCCUGUGGCCCACCACCGUCACACUGCUCACCCUCUUCCUCCUCAGCCUCUUCUACAGCACCGCGCUGACCAUGACGAGUGUCCGGGGACAAGCCAGCAGCAAAGACGGACCCCAGUACUGA